ACUCAAAGGAAUUGACGGGGACCCGCACAAGCAGCGGAGCAUGUCGUUUAAUUCGACGAUACGCGAAAAACCUUACCAGGGCUUGACAUCCUUUGCAUAGCAUGGAAACAUGUGAAAUCAUAGCAAUAUGACAAAGAGACAGAUGGUGCAUGGUUGUCGUCAGCUCGUGUCGUGAGAUGUUGGGUUAAGUCCCGCAACGAGCGCAACCCCUACCAAAAGUUGCUAACAUUCAGUUGAGAACUCUUUUGGGACUGCCAUUGAUAAAAUGGAGGAAGGUGGGGAUGACGUCAAAUCAUCAUGCCUCUUACGCCCUGGGCUACAAACGUGCUACAAUGGCCAUCACAAAGCGUUGCCAACCAGUAAUGGGGAGCUAAUCGCAAAAAAAUGGUCUCAGUUCGGAUUGUGGGCUGCAACCCGCCCACAUGAAGUUGGAGUUGCUAGUAAUCCCGAAUCAGCAUGUCGGGGUGAAUGCGUUCCCGGGUCUUGUACACACCGCCCGU
rnacentral:rRNA from 1 species